UACAGAGGUCUCAAGCGUUGUUCGGAUUCAUUGGGCGUAAAGGGUGCGUAGGCGGCGCGGUAAGUCGGGUGUGAAAUCUUGGAGCUUAACUCCGAAACUGCAUUCGAUACUGCCGUGCUUGAGGACUGGAGAGGAGACUGGAAUUUACGGUGUAGCGGUGAAAUGCGUAGAUAUCGUAAGGAAGCCCAGUGGCGAAGGCGGGUCUCUGGACAGUUCCUGACGCUGAAGCACGAAGGCCAGGGGAGCAAACGGG
rnacentral:rRNA from 1 species